GGAGGGUACAGCUCAAGUGGUAGAGCACAUGCUUAGCAUGCACGAGGUCCUAGGUUCAAUUCCCGGGACCUCCA
rnacentral:tRNA from 1 species